GAUGGCCCUUUUCCAAGCAUGCUGAAUGGAACCGAGCAACUCAGAUGUUCUCCACUAACAGAAAAGUUAGUGCUACCUUUGACUUCUGAUAGCCCUAAAAAACUAUACAGCUGUAUUGGAGGUGAGCAAGAAUUGCCAUGGACAUGGGCCUGCCUGGGAGGCUGAGUGGGCAAGAGUAACUUGUAACCAGAAACUUUCCUUCUGGGACCACAGUCCAUCCUCUAGAUACAGUCUUCAGUGUUUCUAAAGCUGAUGACAAGACCAUCAUCUAUCUAUCUACCCAUCCAUCCAUAUGCAUCCAUCUGUAUGUUUGCAC